AAGGCCUUAGCUUAAUUAAAGUGUCUGUUUUGCAUACAGAAGAUGGGGGAUAGAGUCCCCCAGGUUUUA
rnacentral:tRNA from 1 species